AGCGAACGCUGGCGGCAGGCCUAACACAUGCAAGUCGAACGAAGUCUUCGGACUUAGUGGCGGACGGGUGAGUAACACGUAGGAACGUGCCUUUAGGUUCGGAAUAACUCAGGGAAACUUGUGCUAAUACCGAAUGUGCCCUUCGGGGGAAAGAUUUAUCGCCUUUAGAACGGCCCGCGUCUGAUUAGCUAGUUGGUGAGGUAAAGGCUCACCAAGGCGACGAUCAGUAGCUGGUCUGAGAGGAUGAUCAGCCACAUUGGGACUGAGACACGGCCCAAACUCCUACGGGAGGCAGCAGUGGGGAAUCUUGCGCAAUGGGCGAAAGCCUGACGCAGCCAUGCCGCGUGAAUGAUGAAGGUCUUAGGAUUGUAAAAUUCUUUCACCGGGGACGAUAAUGACGGUACCCGGAGAAGAAGCCCCGGCUAACUUCGUGCCAGCAGCCGCCGUAAAAC
rnacentral:rRNA from 1 species